UACGUAGGGGGCAAGCGUUAUCCGGAAUCACUGGGCGUAAAGGGUGCGUAGGCGGCCUGACAAGUCAGAGGUGAAAGGCUACGGCUUAACCGUAGUAAGCCUUUGAAACUGUUGGGCUUGAGUGCAGGAGAGGUAAGUGGAAUUCCUAGUGUAGCGGUGAAAUGCGUAGAUAUUAGGAGGAACACCAGUGGCGAAGGCGACUUACUGGACUGUAACUGACGCUGAGGCACGAAAGCGUGGGGAGCAAACAGG
rnacentral:rRNA from 1 species